UACGUAGGGUGCAAGCGUUGUCCGGAAUUAUUGGGCGUAAAGAGCUCGUAGGCGGUCUGUCGCGUCUGCUGUGAAAACUCGGGGCUUAACCCCGGGCCUGCAGUGGGUACGGGCAGACUAGAGUGCGGUAGGGGAGACUGGAAUUCCUGGUGUAGCGGUGAAAUGCGCAGAUAUCGGGAGGAACACCGGUGGCGAAGGCGGUUCUCUGGGCAGUAACUGACGCUGAGGAGCGAAAGCGUGGGGAGCGAACAGG
rnacentral:rRNA from 1 species